UACGGAGGAUGCAAGCGUUAUCCGGAAUUAUUGGGCGUAAAGCGUCCGCAGGUGGUUAUCCAAGUCUGCUGUUAAAGCGCGAGGCUUAACUUCGUACAGGCAGUGGAAACUGGGUGACUGGAGUAUGGUAGGGGUAGCGGGAAUUCCCAGUGUAGCGGUGAAAUGCGUAGAUAUUGGGAAGAACACCGGUGGCGAAAGCGCCUUGCUGGGUCUGCACUGACACUGAGGGACGAAAGCUAGGGGAGCGAAAGGG
rnacentral:rRNA from 1 species